rnacentral:misc_RNA from 1 species
CAAGAACAACAAAUUUUUAACGUGCCCAUGGGCAAUGCUCAUCUGAAAUGCUACUGCUGAAGUGAAAUCUGUAUUCUUUGUCAUUGCAGAUGAGGACAUUUUUACAACAUUGAAGAUAGAAUUGUUAUAACUAACUACAGAUGUUACACAUCAUAAAAAGAAUGGGGCACAGAACAGAUGCUUGUAAUAUUAUGCAAAUAUAUUAACUGCCAAAGAACAUAUGAUCUGCCAGCAUCUGGGUAUCUUAUAAAUUUCUGUAUUGCUAAUAUCAGGUAUUCAGGUUUGGUUAGAGCUUGGAAAGCAUUUCCUCAAUUCUGAUGAAAACACAUCUCAAAGAAGAUGAUUGGGAAAUUAAAGUGCAUAUGUAGAUGAAUUAUUCAUGCCUCUCUUUCAAUGGCAUCCAUGAUUGUUGUAACAAAACCUUUCUCACCCAAGAUAACGUUUAAUCCCACUUAAAACUUCCUAAAUAUCACUGAUAACAAGAAUCCCAUACCCAAACCUUCCUGAAAUAUCAUUGAUGGCGAGAAUUUAUGCUCCAUGAUAUAUGAUUUCCAGGCCAGAAAAACCAGAGCAGCUCCCAGAUCACCAUCCAAUAAAAAAGUUCCAGAUCAUUUCAAGGACACAAAAAAACAUCCUGGUCUUAGAAUGACAAGCCAGUUUACACUGUUAUCAAGUCCCCAAUUACGUGUAUCUCGAGGUGGAGUGGUAUAACUAAGACAUAAAAGGUUGACAGCCUGAUGCAAUAGCCAAGCAGCCACCCCCUUUUACACUAGUUGCAGCACCAUCUCUAUGUAGCAACACAUUACAGCAUCGCCUGCCUCCAUUUCAGACCAGAACCAAUAACUAUAACUGUGAUUGCGGCACAUCCAGGAUAUCAUACCCAGUCUGCAUCUAGAAUUCACAUUGCCAGUAUGGAUCGGCCCAGAUGGCUCCCAUAUUAAAUCAGACAUUUAGGCCCUGCUUCAACAGUAUCUUAACAUUCUGCUUGCCCUUACAGUAUUUCCAAUCUGACGAAAUUAGUGUUACCAAACAUUUGAAUAUAAUCACCGAAGUGAGAAUCAAAUCUACUCUUGAUUAAGAAAAUGCAACGAAUUCAACAAAGUCUUGUAAGUCUUCUGGCUCAUCAAUCUAUCCCUCUUUCUACAUUCUUCAAGUAGCUCAAAAGCUUCAUCACUCUUCCCUUCCCUACACAAUCCUUCCAAAACAGUCUUGUAAGUCAACAAAUCUGGUGCUCUUGAUUGCCCCAACAUAUCAAAAAGCACUUCAAUUGCCUCCUCAAACCUCCCUUCUAUUGCAAGACUACAAAUCAAAAUCAUGUAAGUACUCCCACUGGGCACCAAUAGUUUACCCUUCAUUUCCUUAUAAAACCCUAGACCCUGCUCCACUCUCCCCUUCUCACACAACCCCUUCACCACAUAACUAUAGGAAUAUGCAUUCGGGUAGCAUCCAUACAAACCCAUUUCGCGAAAAACUCUAAUCGCCUCAUCAACCUCUAGACAAGUAGCAUAAGCCUUGACGAUCAUAUUCAAAACAAAAGUAUCCGGUAUCACACCGGAGGCCUUCAUUUGCUUUGUCAGAGACUUAACAGCAUGUAAAUAGACAUAGCAAACAUGUAACUUGUUAAAUCUUCUAAGCAACGAAUUCAGCAACAAUGUAUAGGUUUCAAGCGUGGGCUUACAAUCAUCCGACUUCAACAUUUUUUUAUACACAUCAAAAGCACGGUUGAACAGGAACUUACGAUUGCAACAAAAACGAAUCAUGGAAUUGUAGAGAGGAACGCUCAUAUCACAAGCGCCGGCCAUUACCUCUUCUACUAGAGUUUCCGCGUGUCGGUAUCGCCUACCGUCGAUGAGGGUUUUGAUCAUUGUGAGGUAGGUGACAUGGUUGUGCUUGUAAUUGCGUUGCUGCGCAGUCCAGCGGAAGAUGUCGAGCGCGAGAUCAGGGUCUGAUUGGGCACGGAGGGCGGCAUCGACAUCAGUAGGGGUGAACCCGGGUUUGAGGUUUUGGGUCCAGGUUUCGAAUUGAGUCUCAAGCGGUGUUCGGGUUCGUGUUCUUCCAAUAGGAGGGACUGAAAGGUCACUGUUUUCCGUUGGUGGAAAUUGACUGUUAUCGGCGGAGGGCAAGGAGGACAUGGUGCAGAGACAGAGCGAUGAUUUCGUGAUUUGGAGAAAAUAUAGAGAUGAGAAUGCAGAAAAAAGAUAUUUGGGUUUUUUGGAUGUGGAGGUGAGCAGAUAGGUUAAGCUCAUAGACAUAGUUCCAGAGGAAAGAGGUAGAGGAAGAGAAGAUACGAAUUCACAACUACGUUACAGUCCAGUCUCCUCU